GCGGGAGUUGCCAAGCCCGGUCAAAGGCGGCGGACUUAAGAUCGCAUGAAAUAAAGGGGUCAUGUGAAUAGGCUAUCCGCUCUCGUAGGAGUCCGCGGGUUCGAAUCCCGCCUCCCGCA
rnacentral:tRNA from 1 species